GUUAGGAAUAUUGGACAAUGGGCGAAAGCCUGAUCCAGCCAUGCCGCGUGAACGAUGAAGGCCUUCGGGUUGUAAAGUUCUUUAGCCGAUGAUUAUAAUGACUGUAGUCGGAAAAUAAGCCCCGGCUAACUUCGUGCCAGCAGCCGCGGUAAUACGAAGGGGGCGAGCGUUAUUCGGAAUCACUGGGCGUAAAGCGUGCGUAGGCGGUUUUGUAAGUUAGGAGUGAAAGCCCAGGGCUCAACCUUGGAAUUGCUCUUAAAACUGCAAGGCUCGAAUCUCGGAGAGGAUAGCGGAAUUUCCAGUGUAGCAGUGAAAUGCGUAGAUAUUGGAAGGAACACCAGUGGCGUAAGCGGCUAUCUGGACGAGUAUUGACGCUGAGGCACGAAAGCGUGGGGAUCAAACAGGAUUAGAUACCCUGGUGUCC
rnacentral:rRNA from 1 species